rnacentral:rRNA from 1 species
GAUGAACGCUGGCGGCGUGCCUAAUACAUGCAAGUCGAGCGAACAGACGAGGAGCUUGCUCCUCUGACGUUAGCGGCGGACGGGUGAGUAACACGUGGAUAACCUACCUAUAAGACUGGGAUAACUUCGGGAAACCGGAGCUAAUACCGGAUAAUAUAUUGAACCGCAUGGUUCAAUAGUGAAAGACGGUUUUGCUGUCACUUAUAGAUGGAUCCGCACAGCAUUCGCUAGUUGGUAAGGUAACGGCUUACCAAGGCAACGAUGCGUAGCCGACCUGAGCGGGUGAUCGGCCACACUGGAACUGAGACACGGUCCAGACUCCUACGGGAGGCAGCAGUAGGGAAUCUUCCGCAAUGGGCGAAAGCCUGACGGAGCAACGCCGCGUGAGUGAUGAAGGUCUUCGGAUCGUAAAACUCUGUUAUUAGGGAAGAACAAAUGUGUAAGUAACUAUGCACGUCUUGACGGUACCUAAUCAGAAAGCCACGGCUAACUACGUG